rnacentral:sRNA from 1 species
CUAUGCAUACCUGGUGAGCAAGCCACAUUAGCAGUAUGUCCAGGCUAGGCACCAGCCGCGUGUUUCCUUGGGUUGUACUCACAAUUUUCUUGAUAAGUUCAAGGAAACGCAUGUAUCUCCGCCUAGCAGCAACAUGAUAGACACCUUCUGAGAUGAAGGGUGAGGCAAAGCGGGCUGCUAGGCCAGUAUAUCUUUGAACCAUUUCGAUAAUUUCACUAGCAGAUUUGUCAUUACUACUGUUUCCUUCAGUUUCAUUAUCUUCAAGAUCAAAUGGCUCCGAUGGAUAGUGUGCAGCCCAGACAUCCCGACAGUGGUCAGCGGCAUAUUCUUCAUUAUCAGCAUCAAGGAUCGACGGACGGUUGAUGAGGCGUCCAAACCUUGAUGCACAGUAAGCAGCAUAGCUCUCAUGGUGGAAGCAGUGGCAGAGCCAGACGAGCCGCACGUCGGGCGGCGGCACCAGCAUCGGCGCCUCCCCUCCCGCCCCCUCCGCCGCCACGAGCGGCAUCCACAGCUCCUCGUACCUCCGCACGGACCGCGGCCCCACCACCCCAGCUCC